rnacentral:rRNA from 1 species
AUUGAACGCUGGCGGCAUGCUUUACACAUGCAAGUCGAACGGUAACAGGCCGCAAGGUGCUGACGAGUGGCGAACGGGUGAGUAAUGCAUCGGAACGUGCCCAGUCGUGGGGGAUAACGCAGCGAAAGCUGCGCUAAUACCGCAUACGAUCUAUGGAUGAAAGCGGGGGACCGUAAGGCCUCGCGCGAUUGGAGCGGCCGAUGUCAGAUUAGGUAGUUGGUGGGGUAAAGGCUCACCAAGCCAACGAUCCGUAGCUGGUCUGAGAGGACGACCAGCCACACUGGGACUGAGACACGGCCCAGACUCCUACGGGAGGCAGCAGUGGGGAAUUUUGGACAAUGGGCGCAAGCCUGAUCCAGCAAUGCCGCGUGCAGGAAGAAGGCCUUCGGGUUGUAAACUGCUUUUAUACGGAACGAAAAGGCUCUGGAUAAUACCUGGGGCUCAUGACGGUACCGUAAGAAUAAGCACCGGCUAACUACGUGCCAGCCGCCGCCGUAAAAC